GCUUGUGGAUUUCUGCCCCAAUAAAUUGUGAUUCCCUGUGAAGCUAAGCAGGAUUGGGCCUGGUUAGUACUUGGAUGGGAGACCACCUAGGAAUAUCAGGUGCUAUAGGCA
rnacentral:rRNA from 1 species